UCAAACUUGGUCAUUUAGAGGAAGUAAAAGUCGUAACAAGGUUUCCGUAGGUGAACCUGCGGAAGGAUCAUUACCGUGGGGAUUCGUCCCCAUUGAGAUAGCACCCUUUGUUUAUGAGCACCAUUUGUUUCCUCGGCGGGCCUGCCCGCCGCUAGGACCCCCCAAUAAACCUUUUGCAAUAGCAGUCUACUCAGUUAAAAUACAAAUAUUAAAACUUUCAACAACGGAUCUCUUGGUUCUGGCAUCGAUGAAGAACGCAGC
rnacentral:misc_RNA from 1 species